GUUUGCCCACUUUCUUGUUCUCUUAUUGUAAGAGUAGCAAGGGCAACUUCACAAAUUCAGGGGUGCAUUAUUAUGUUUCUUGAUGAGUAUAGAGCUAGCAUAAUUCCUUUCCAUGAUUUGGUUUCUUUUCCUCUUCUUUGCUCCUCUUUCUUGCACUUCAUUGGUUAUUGUGAAACAAGUGAUUGUUUCACUUGUUGGAAUCUCAAGGAGAUGGUGAAACAAGUGAGAAGUGAUUGUGGCUCUAAUAAAAUGUGGACCACAAUGACAAAUUAUUCACCAUAUAUAUAUAUGGUUAUGGUUU
rnacentral:misc_RNA from 1 species